rnacentral:tRNA from 1 species
GAGGGUAUAGCUCAGUGGUAUAGCAUGUGCUUAGCAUGCAUGAGGUCCUGGGUUCAAUCCCCAGUACCUCCU